CCCCACUGUGAAAGGGGUGAAGUGUUUUGGUUCUGGCCUAUUGAAGGACAAAUACCCACUGUGUGCUCGUUCUCUGAGUCGGUGAGAGAGACCCAGAGUCGGUCUGCUUUAGCGCCGCCAAUAGAACUAAUGCCUUUGCACAGAGGACCUAGUGAGGACAGAGCAGUGUGCCAGGUGACGACAGCGCUGUGGCACUGUCCUGCCUUCAGCUCAGUGAGCCGGGAGAGCCAGGCCCCCCGGUGGCAGCAAGCGCAGAGCCAGGAGUGUAUCGGGAGCCGGUCGGAUGUCUGAGAUGGUCCACAGGGCCUUGGCGCUGGCGGCAUGGCCACCGCCCCACCGCGGGGCCCACUGGACGGGGAAGAACCGACUUGCCCAGGCCCUCCUGCUUUUCCUGCCUCCCCACCGCUGCAGAAAGAAAACGUUCCCAAAAAUUCCCCUGGAAUGACUUCCCCUGGAAACGACAGGAAGGUGUGGUCUGCGGAAUGUGGCCAUCAGAGGCUCCAAAGGGACAAGCUGGGUGGCUCUCCCAGAAGCACCCAUGAGCCUCGGCCCUGGGGAAGAGGGGCUGUGUGGACAGCACACCUCUGUCCUGACUAAUCCAGGGCUGGGGGUCAGCAUGGGGGCCGCGGAGACAAAGCAGCGCCAGCCACGCCAGCCGCCCCCCAUGUGCAGGCUGGGGACCUGCAGCCACCGGCAUGUCCCAGGAGGAAGAGCCAUCCUCCAGUAGUUAACUCUUUUCUACAACCAAGCUCCAUCCCCCAGUCUUUAUAGGGGUCUCCGCUGUCAAGGAAACAGUUCAAACGCCUCGUGAUGCCUCAAGGCUUCUCAUCUGCUCCUGUCACCUAUCCAGCUUCUGAUGAAGGGUCCCCUUCCUCAGCCACAGCCACUCUCUCUCUCUCCUGCUGCCACUGGGAACCACUUCCAGUGACCCGAAUAGCUGUGUAUCUCUAGGAUAACCACUCGUCCUGGCUUUCCUGGGACAAAGGAGUUUCCCAGGAUGUGGGACUUUCCAUGGAUGGUCCCAGACAAACCGGGAUAGUUGGUCACACUCUGGGUGCCUCACCCCUUCUAUCUUUACUGAUGCAGCGUCCUUCCCCCGAACCUUGUCUGCCAGGAACACGCUCUAUCCAAACUUGCCUCCACAAAGCUCUUCUGAGUCAGCUCCUGCCUCCGUUGAAAUGGACAAACUGCCCCAUCCUCGGUGCCCUGCUGGUAGCCAGCUCUUCAAUACUUGCCUGUCCGUAUGGGCUCAAUUAUCCGUGUUGCCCGCUAGACUCUAGGCUUCUGGAGCACAGGCUACACUGUCUUUUUGUCUCUCCAGCUGUCACUAAGCCCAGCAACCAUGAAUGAGCCACAGGUGUUGGCUGAACGAUUUUCAAAUACGUGGGAAGGAAUUCUGUGAGGUAUGGAGACACACAAGUUAAAGUUCUUCCAAAAAUUCUGAAAAGUCAUCUUAUUCCACUGAUUCUUUUAACAUAUACUUCUUAAGGUGCCUAUCAUAGGCCAGGCCCCGGAGCUAUAGCUGUGAACAAGACAGUCAAAAUCUCCAUC